rnacentral:rRNA from 1 species
AUUAGGAAUUGGCGGGGGAGCACCACAACAGGUGGAGCCUGCGGUUUAAUUGGACUCAACGCCGGAAAUCUCACCGGAUAAGACAGCGGAAUGAUUGCCGGGCUGAAGACUCUGCAUGACUAGCUGAGAGGAGGUGCAUGGCCGUCGUCAGUUCGUACUGUGAAGCAUCCUGUUAAGUCAGGCAACGAGCGAGACCCACGCCAACAGUUGCCAGCACGAUCCCCGGAUUGGUGGGGACACUGUUGGGACCGCCUCUGCUAAAGGGGAGGAAGGAAUGGGCAACGGUAGGUCAGCAUGCCCCGAAUUAUCCGGGCUACACGCGGGCUACAAUGGGCAGGACAAUGGGUAUCGACAUCGAAAGGUGAAGGCAAUCUCCUAAACCUGUCCGUAGUUCGGAUUGUGGGCUGUAACUCGCCCACAUGAAGCUGGAAUCUGUAGUAAUCGCGUUUCAAAAUAACGCGGUGAAUGUGUCCCUGCUCCUUGCACACACCGCCCGUCAAU